UCUGCAUGCCAACCCCUCGCCGUUUCCUUCCCCGAUCUCUUCGACUUCUCCACCCGACGGCAUGCCUCUUUCUCGCUUUCUCCCUCGCACAUAAACAGUAGCCAAGAGAGAACCAACUCUUCUUCUCUUGAGCUUUUCCUUCUUCCCGAACCAGCCACCACCCCCUCCAUUGCGAUCUCGACUCACCAACCGUGAGAAGUAGUUGCCCAACUCCGGUCGCUAACGUUGGUUCAUCGUCGCCUUCUCGUGGGAGUCAGCGGGCAACGUUGUGGUGUCAACCUCGAUUCCAAUUUCACCGGUGUCGAACAAACCACCGCCGGACAAGCUUUUCCCCUAUUCUCCACCGGUUUCUCCAGAUCCAUCCAGUCCCCUUAUCCCUAAGCCGUCGGCUCUGCGCGGGCUGGCCUUCGUGAAAGAAUAGGGGAAUCCGAGCCCUAGAUUUGAUUUACCGGACCUCCCUUCCCUCGGUGCUGCCGUCGACUACCUUGGUCGACGCCUGAUCGCCACUAAGUAUCCUUUGAGGGAUAACUCGUCGACACCCACUAUUGAUCUAGAUGACGGUGGCCGAUCUACAGUUGACGCUGCCCUUUUGUUGUGAGCAGCCAACUUCGACAUCUCACUCUGUCCGUUGUUUUCCACGAGCCAUCAAAAUUUGAGCAGCAUCUCCUAGUCCCGACCACUAUAUCCCCACAGCACGCGUCUCCGGCAGUGACUCAACAGUCGGGUAUAUGGAUUUGGGUUGAAGCCGUCAGGAGUUCCAGUCGCUAGCCCCCCUCCAGAUCGCAAGGAUUUUCAUUUAGUCUUUUGUUUUUCCUAUUAUACUAUCUAGUCUAUGUUUCAGACUUCUAUUGGUUUUGCACCAUGGAUUUUGUUUAGUCUUUUUUGUUUGUCGACGGGAUUUAUUCGAUAUGUUCUGCUAUGUGCCUGCCCGGACGGUAGAAGAGGUAAGUUGGAUGUUUGUUUAUGGUUUUCGUAUUGUGUUGAUAGCCGGAGGCUGAUAUAUAUGUAUAUAUUGUAUGGUUGUUGAUUUAUGUUUAUUGUUAUUG